GACGAACGCUGGCGGCGUGCCUAGUACAUGCAAGUAGAACGCUGAAGGAGGAGCUUGCUCUUCUGGAUGAGUUGCGAACGGGUGAGUAACGCGUAGGUAACCUGCCUGGUAGCGGGGGAUAACUAUUGGAAACGAUAGCUAAUACCGCAUAACAGUAGAUGCUGCAUGACAUUUGCUUAAAAGGUGCAAUUGCAUCACUACCAGAUGGACCUGCGUUGUAUUAGCUAGUUGGGGGGGUAACGGCUCACCAAGGCGACGAUACAUAGCCGACCUGAGAGGGUGGUCGGCCACCAUGGGACUGAGACACGGCCCAGACUCCUACGGGAGGCAGCAGUAGGGAAUCUUCGGCAAUGGACGGAAGGCUGACCGAGCAACGCCGCGUGAGUGAAGAAGGUUUUCGGAUCGUAAAGCUCUGUUGUAAGAGAAGAACGAGUGUGAGGGUGGAAAGUUCACGCUGUGACGGUAUCUGACCAGAAAGGGACGGCUAACUACGUG
rnacentral:rRNA from 1 species